rnacentral:lncRNA from 1 species
UAGAAUUCCUAAGGAUCAAUCAUAAUGAUCUUUAUUAAGGAUAAAUUAUAACCUAAUGGAUCGGACACCGUUAAACUUGAUUUUUGGAAAAGACAUAAGGAUAAAUUAAGGAAACUAAUUAAGCUUAGGGCCAGUUUGGCAUUGUUGUGCUGUGAAAAUAAUCGUUGUUAGAUUUGCUGUGAGAGAAAUUAGUUGUGAGAGAAAGCUGUUUGGCGUUUGGUAAACUUUUUGUUAAAUGUGUUGUUGGUACUAAUUCCC